AAUGAACGUUGGCGGCGUGGAUUAGGCAUGCAAGUCGUGCGCGAACUGUAGCAAUACAGGGAGAGCGGCGAAAGGGAGAGUAAUACAUAGGUACCUACCCCCGGGCCUGGGAUAGCGGCGGGAAACUGCCGGUAAUACCAGAUAACGUCCCCGGACCAAAGAUGUGACUUCACCUGGGGAGGGGCCUAUGGCCUAUCAGCUUGUUGGCAGGGUAACGGCCUACCAAGGCAAAGACGGGUAUGGGGCGUGAGAGCGUGCCCCCACUCACUGGGACUGAGACACUGCCCAGAAACCUACGGGUGGCUGCAGUCGAGAAUCGUCGGCAAUGGGCGCAAGCCUGACCGAGCGACGCCGCGUGCGGGAUGAAGGCCUUCGGGUUGUAAACCGCUGUCGUAGGGGAGGAAGGGCCUGUGAAGAACAGGACUUGACCGAUCCUAGGAGGAAGGGCCGGCUAAUCUCGUGCCAGCAGCCGCCGUAA
rnacentral:rRNA from 1 species